ACAGCAUCAUCAGAGUAAUCCAGGUCCCUGUUGGAGUCAGUCAGAGCAUUUCCAUAGAGAGACACUUUGCAUCAGCAGCACCAUGCUCCAGUGCUCUGGGAGACCUUAUAGUCCUGAGAGUUGAACACUGGAUGACUGACAGCUGUCCUUCAUGACAACAGAAGCCACAGAAAUCCUCCUCAUCAAAACAUGACUUUGAUCUGCGUCCUCAUCUGGACUCUCCUCUGCUGCUGCUUCACAGAGUCCAGAGGCCAGUUCACAGUGAGUCAGUCUGGAGCAGUGAGCUCUGCUCCGGGACGCUCCAUCUCCAUCACAUGUAGGACCAGUCAGGUGGUUUAUAAUGGGGACUAUUUAGCCUGGUACCAACAGAGAGAUGGAGGAACUCCUAAACCGCUCAUUUACUCUACUAGCACUCGAGCAUCAGGGAUUUCAAACCGUUUUACAGGCAGUGGAUCAAACUCUGACUUCACUCUGACCAUCAGUGGAGUCCAGACUGAUGAUGCAGCAGUUUACUACUGUCAGAGUCUCCAUAUCCCCAACAGUCAGUAGGU